UAUGUGAUCGUCUCUCGCAUAUCAAUAAGCGGAGGAAAAGAAACUAACAAGGAUUCCCCUAGUAACGGCGAGUGAAGCGGGAAGAGCUCAAAUUUGAAAUCUUAAAGGGUUUCCCUUUACGAAUUGUAGUUUAAAGAAGUGUUUUCUGUUGAGGUUUUGGUAAAAGUUCUUUGGAAUAGGACAUCAUAGAGGGUGAGAAUCCCGUAUUUGACCUUUACUUUCAACUUUGUGAUACACUUUCAAAGAGUCGGAUUGUUUGGGAAUGCAGUCCAAAAUGGGUGGUAAAUUUCAUCUAAAGCUAAAUAUUGGCGAGAGACCGAUAGCGAACAAGUACCGUGAGGGAAAGAUGAAAAGAACUUUGAAAAGAGAGUUAAACAGUACGUGAAAUUGUCAAAAGGGAAGCGUUUGACACCAGUGUUGUUUUUCUGAAAAUCAAUUAAAGAACUGUUUAUGCUAAGUUGUUUAGACUUUAUCAGCUAUCUGUUUAGUUUUGAGCUUUUCUUUAAUGCACUUUUCAGUUAACAAGUCAACAUCAAUUUCUUUUGCUGUAAAAAAGCUUGAGGAAGGUGGCUUGAGAUUCGUCUUAAGUGUUUAUAGCCUCUUGCCUAUGCAGUCGGAGAGAUUGAGGUCUGCAGCGUAGAUCCUUCGGGGCUAAAUGCAUUUGUGCUAAGUUAUAGCAUUUUAUAGACAACUUGUUGACUAUGAUUUGUCUUGUAGCUUACUCGCUUAUGUUAUUUUACCUACGCUUAGGAUGUUGAUCUACAGAGCGAGAG
rnacentral:rRNA from 1 species